CCUACGGGAGGCAGCAGUGGGGAAUAUUGCACAAUGGGGGAAACCCUGAUGCAGCGACGCCGCGUGAGUGAAGAAGUAUUUCGGUAUGUAAAGCUCUAUCAGCAGGGAAGAAAAUGACGGUACCUGACUAAGAAGCCCCGGCUAACUACGUGCCAGCAGCCGCGGUAAUACGUAGGGGGCAAGCGUUAUCCGGAUUUACUGGGUGUAAGGGGAGCGUAGACGGUGAUGCAAGUCAGAAGUGAAAGCCCGGGGCUCAACUCCGGGACUGCUUUUGAAACUGUGUGACUGGAGUGCAGGAGAGGUAAGCGGAAUUCCUGGUGUAGCGGUGAAAUGCGUAGAUAUCAGGAGGAACACCAGUGGCGAAGGUGGCUUACUGGACUGUAACUGACGUUGAGGCUCGAAAGCGUUGGGAGCAAACAGGAUUAGAUACCCCUGUAGUC
rnacentral:rRNA from 1 species